rnacentral:rRNA from 1 species
UCCUACGGGAGGCAGCAGUAGGGAAUCUUCCGCAAUGGACAAAAGUCUGACGGAGCAACGUCGCGUGAGUGAUGGAGGCUUUCGGGUCGUAAAACUCUGUUGUUAGGGAAGAACAAGUGCUAGUUGAAUAAGCUGGCACCUUGACGGUACCUAACCAGAAAGCCACGGCUAACUAC